rnacentral:lncRNA from 1 species
UAUGUGGUGAAAGAGGAACACUCCUCCAUUGGUGGUAGAAUUGCAAGCUGGUACAACUACUCUGGAAAUCAGUUUGGCAGUUCCUUAGAAAAUUGGACAUAGUACUACUGGAAGAUCCAGUAAUACUUCUCCUGGGCAUAUAUUGCAGGAGAUACCCAGAAGAUAUUCCAACUUGUAAUAAAGAUACAUGCUCCACUAUGUUCAUAGCAGCCUUAUUAUAAUAGCCAGAAGCUGGAAAGAACCCAAAUAUCCUUCAACAGACGAAUGGAUACAGAAAAUAUGGUACAUUUACACAAUGGAGUACUACUCACCUAUUAAAAACCAUAAAUUCAUGAAAUUCUUAGGUAAAUGAAUGGAUCAGGAGGAUAUCAUCCUGAGUGAAGUAACCCAAUCACAAAAGAACAUACAUGAUAUGCACUCACUGAUAAGUGGAUAUUAGCCCAGAAACUUAGAAUACCCAUGAUACAAUUCACAAAACACAUGAAACUCAAGAAGAAGGAAGACCUGUCCCGAUCUGCAGAACUCAGUUAUUCAGGGGUUCCGAGGGGGACAAUGCCUAAAAGAAAAAUGGGUGGGAAAGAAGGAGCAAGACCAAGCAAUGAUUGUCAAGGUCUGUUUAUUGUGAGCAAGGUUACAGAAUAUACGCAGUAAGAAGGAGGAAGGAAGUAAAGAGGGAGAAAUUUGCCCGUGUCUCAGCCGGAGGGCAGGGGUGGUUAUGCAUAACUGCCUGGGAAGGUGCUAUCUCCUCUUAGCUCAGGGGACAUUCUGUGUUUUUUCUCAGGAAGUUCGAAGAUACUAUUAUCUGAUCUUGAUGUUCUGUCAGCUGUCCUUUCAAAAGCUCAGAAGUUUCUCAAGAUGGGAGGGGAACUUUGGCUUAUGGCUCAGUGUUGGUCUCCAACAAAGACUAAGUGUGGAUACUUCGUUCCUUCUUAGAAUGGGGAAUAAAAUACCUAUGGAAGGAGUAGCAGAGACAAAGUUCAUAGCAGAGCCUGAAGGAACCACAUCCAGAGACUGCCGCACUGAGGGAUUCACCCCAUACACAACCACCAAACCCAGUCACUAGGCAGAUGCCAAAAAGAUCCUGCUGACAGGAGCCUGGUAUAACUGUCUUCUGCGAGGUUCUGCCAGUGCUGGCAAAUACAGAAGUGGAUGCUCACAGUCAUCCAUUGGAAGGAGCACAAGGUCCCAAUGAAGGAGCCAGAGAAAUACCCAGGGAACUGAAUGGGACUGAAGCCCCAUAGUAGAAACAUCAAUAUGAACUAACCAGUACCCCAGAGCUCUUUGGAACUAUACCACCAGUCAAAGAAUCAUGGUGGAGCUUGUGGCUUUAGCUAUAUAUGUAGCAGAGGAUGGCCUAGUCAGUCAUCAGUGGGAGGAGAAGCCUUUGGUCCUGUGAAGGUUCUAGGCCCCAAUAAAGGGGAAUGCCAGGACCAGAAAUGGGAGUUGGUGGUUUGGGGAGCAGGGGGAACAGGAAGGGGAUAGGGGACUUUCAGGAUAGCCUUUGAAAUGUAAAUGAAGAAAAUAUCUAAUAAAAAUAAAGCAAAAACAAAAAAAGAGAAGAAAUUUAAAGAUGACAAUAAAGAAGGAGUAGAAGAAGAAAAGACAAAAGGAAAAAAGAAAGUAAGAAGAAAAGUAGAAAAAAAGCAAAUGAAAGAAGGACAAAGGAAGGAGAGAAGAACAAAGGAAGGAGGAAAGGAUGAAGGAAGGAAAAAAGAGUCAGAGCUAAGAAGAUAACUCAGCCAUUCUUAUCUCCUUAUACAAAGCUACAGCCCAAGUGGAUCAAGGACCUCCACAUAAAUCCAGAUACAGUGCAACUAAUAGAAGGCAAAGUGGAGAGCCAUGAACACAUGGGGACAGGGGAAAUUUUCCUGAAAAGAACACCAAUGGCUUAUGCUCUAAAAGAUGAACAGUAGACAAAUAGGAGCUCAUAAAAUUGCUAAGAACUUUUCCUUAAGGCAAAGGACACUAUCAAUAGGACAACUAACAACUUGGGAAAAGUUCCUUGUCAGUUCUAUAUCUGAUAGAGGGCUAAUAUCAAAUAUGUAC